rnacentral:antisense_RNA from 1 species
GUCGACCCCGGACCAAAAGUAGCGCUGCAGCCGACCGAACCGCGUCCUCCUGCCCCGCCCCGCCCCGCCCUCCCCUCCCCCACGCCGGGACGGCCUCCCGGGGGAGGCCCCGAGGAAAAAUCCAGGCUCGAACUCCGCCCCCUGCCGGCCGCCAGCGGGAGUGAAGCGCCACAAUCCAACAAUGAAAUGGAACCGGGGAGGGGCGGCGGGAAGGUUGUAGUGCCAUCAUGUGGAUACUUUGUUUUCUUCAAAUAAAAUGUAACCUUUUUAUAAUAGAAACUAGAAAACCCAGCCAUACCAACACCCAGGCUGUGCAAAGAAAUUGGGGCCAAAGGUUUUUUUGCCGUGUUCUGAAAAGGAUAGAGGCACUCUCCAUUCCCGAUUGUUCCAAGGCUCAAGUGGUCAUAAAUGAUUGGGAAGAAGGGAGAAAAACUCAGGUGGCAAAGGACAUGGACGAAAACCCAUGGCGACAUGGAAAGAAAACCCUGUGAUGUAUAGAGGAAGAGCACAGGAGAGCUUAUUGGGGAGA